rnacentral:rRNA from 1 species
CCUACGGGGUGCUGCAGUGGGGAAUAUUGGACAAUGGGCGAAAGCCUGAUCCAGCCAUGCCGCGUGUGUGAAGAAGGCCUUCGGGUUGUAAAGCACUUUCAGUGGGGAAGAAAGCCUUGGGGCUAAUACCCUCGAGGAAGGACAUCACCCACAGAAGAAGCACCGGCUAACUCCGUGCCAGCAGCCGCGGUAAUACGGAGGGUGCGAGCGUUAAUCGGAAUUACUGGGCGUAAAGCGCGCGUAGGCGGUCUGAUAAGCCGGUUGUGAAAGCCCCGGGCUCAACCUGGGAACGGCAUCCGGAACUGUCAGGCUAGAGUGCAGUAGAGGAAGGUAGAAUUCCCGGUGUAGCGGUGAAAUGCGUAGAGAUCGGGAGGAAUACCAGUGGCGAAGGCGGCCUUCUGGACUGACACUGACGCUGAGGUGCGAAAGCGUGGGUAGCAAACAGGAUUAGAUACCCGAGUAGUC